AGCGAACGCUGGCGGCAGGCCUAACACAUGCAAGUCGAACGGAAAUUCCGGGGUUUGGUGGGGUGGGGGGAGUAACACGUGGGGACGAGCCCUUGAGUACCGUAUCCCUGAGGGUAGGAUGUCUUCAUACAACUUGUGCUCAUCGGGGGUAGGAGUUCGCGCUUUUGGGGGGGCGGGGGUCGGUUUCGGUGGUUGGGUGUGGUAAUGGCACGCCAAGGCGAGGAUCAGUGGCUGGUCUGGGAGGAGGAUCAGCCACAUUGGGACUGAGACACGGCCCAAACUCCUACGGGAGGCAGCAGAGGGGAAUCUUGCGCAAUGAGCGAAAGCCUGACGCAGCCAUGCCGCGGGAAUGAUGAAUGUCUUAGGAUUGUAAAUUUCUUUCACCGGAGACGAUAAUGACGGUACCCGGAGAAGAAGCCCCGGCUAACUACGUG
rnacentral:rRNA from 1 species